rnacentral:rRNA from 1 species
AGUAACACGUGUGUAACCUGCCUGUCAGAAUGGGAUAACUCCGGGAAACCGGGGCUAAUACCGGAUGCUUGAUUGAACCGCAUGGUUCAAUCAUAAAAGGUGGCUUUUACCUCCCCCUUCCAAAUGAACCCCCGCCCCAUUACCUAUUUGGGAAGGUAACGGUCCCCCAAGGCAACAAUCCUAACCCAACCUAAAAGGGGAAUCGGCCCCCCGGGAACUAAAACCCGCCCCAAACCCCUACGGAAGGCACCAUAAGGAAACCUUCCCCAUGGAACAAAAUCCUAACGAACCACCCCCCCUGGAUUAAUAAAGGUUUUCGAAUCUAAAACUUCUUUUGUUAGGAAAAAACAAUACCCGUUCAAAUAGGGCGGACCCUUAACGGACCCUAACCAAAAACCCCCGGUAAAUUACUUGCCACCACCCCCGGAAUACCUAAGUUGGCAACCUUUGUCCGAAAUAAUGGGCCUUAAAGGCUCCCCAGCCGGUUCCUUAAUCCUAAUGUAAAACCCCCCGGUUCACCCGGGAAGGGUCUUUGAAAAUGGGGAAACUUAAUUGCAAAAAGAAAAUGGAAAUUCCACUUGUACCGUGAAAAUGCUAAAAAAGUUGAAGAAACCCAUGGCCAAAGGCAACUCCUGGCCUGUAAUUAACUUAAGACCAAAACCGGGGAACCAAACGGAUUAUAACCCGGUAAUCCCCCCCUAAACAAUAAGGCUAAGGUUAGAGGUUUCCCCCUUAAUGCUGCACCAACCAUUAACCCUCCCCCGGGAAUACGUCCCAGAAUGAACUCAAGAAUUAACGGGGCCCCCCAACGGGGAACAGUGGUUUAUUCAAACACCCGAGAACUUACCAGUCUGACUCUCUGAAACCUAAAAUAGACUCCCUUCGGGGCAAAUGACAGUGUGCAUGUUGUCUCACUCUGUCUGAAAGUUGGUUAAUCCGCACGACGCACCCUGAUCUAUUGCCACAUCAUUGGCAUCUAGUGAUGCGGGAAACCGAGAAGGUGGGAGACUCAAUCUCUGCCCUUGACUGGGUACAC